rnacentral:rRNA from 1 species
UACAGAGGGUGCGAGCGUUAAUCGGAAUUACUGGGCGUAAAGCGUGCGUAGACGGUUAUUUAAGUCAGAUGUGAAAUCCCCGGGCUUAACCUGGGAACUGCGUUUGAAACUGGAAGGCUUGAGUGUGGCAGAGGGGGGUGGAAUUCCACGUGUAGCAGUGAAAUGCGUAGAGAUGUGGAGGAACACCGAUGGCGAAGGCAGCCCCCUGGGCUAACACUGACGCUCAUGCACGAAAGCGUGGGGAGCAAACAGG